AUUGAACGCUGGAGGCAUGCCUUACACAUGCAAGUCGAACGGUAACGGGUCCUUCGGGAUGCCGACGAGUGGCGAACGGGUGAGUAAUAUAUCGGAACGUGCCCAGUAGUGGGGGAUAACUGCUCGAAAGAGCAGCUAAUACCGCAUACGACCUGAGGGUGAAAGGGGGGGAUCGCAAGACCUCUCGCUAUUGGAGCGGCCGAUAUCAGAUUAGCUAGUUGGUGGGGUAAAGGCCGACCAAGGCAACGAUCUGUAGUUGGUCUGAGAGGACGACCAGCCACACUGGGACUGAGACACGGCCCAGACUCCUACGGGAGGCAGCAGUGGGGAAUUUUGGACAAUGGGCGCAAGCCUGAUCCAGCAAUGCCGCGUGCAGGAAGAAGGCCUUCGGGUUGUAAACUGCUUUUGUCAGGGAAGAAAUCUUCUGGGCUAAUACCCCGGGAGGAUGACGGUACCUGAAGAAUAAGCACCGGCUAACUACGUGCCAGCCGCCGCAGUAA
rnacentral:rRNA from 1 species